rnacentral:rRNA from 1 species
UACAGAGGGUGCUAGCGUUGUUCGGAAUCAUUGGGCGUAAAGGGCGUGUAGGCGGUUUGUUAAGUCAAUGUGUGAAAUCCCUCGGCUCAACCGGGGAACGGACGCAUGAAACUGGCAAGCUAGAGUACCAAAAGAGGGGGGUGGAACUUCCCGGUGUAGCCGGUGAAAUGCGUAGAUAUCGGGAGGAACACCAGUGGCGAAGGCGAGUCUCUGG